GAUGAAGAACGUAGCGAAAUGCGAUAAGUAAUGCGAAUUGCAGAAUCCGUGAGUCAUCGAAUCUUUGAACGCACAUUGCGCCCUCUGGUAUUCCGGAGGGCAUGCCUGUUCGAGCGUCAUUAUCACCCCUCAAGCCCGGCUUGUUGUUGGAUGCAGCGCUUAUCCCGCUCCUCCCAAAGAUAAUGACGGCGUCUGCGACGACUCCUGUACACUGAGCUUUCGGGCACGUACACGGCUAGAAGUCCAGACCCGGUCGCCGUCCCCCCCGCGGGGACACCCAUUACCACAAGGUUGACCUCGUAUCAGGUAGGAAUACCCGCUGAACUUAAGCAUAUCAAUAAGCGGAGGA
rnacentral:misc_RNA from 1 species